CGCCGCCCGGGCGGGGAGACUGGAGGGGGCGGGGCCGCCGCGGCUCCAGUACCCGGGGAGGGGGGAGUCCGGUCCCGGCCGGCGGCCUGAGAGCGCGCGGGGCACGGGCCGCCUCAGUGCGCAGGUGCGCCAAGAGCAGCAGAAGUGGCCAUGGGAAGAGGCAGCAGAAGGGAGAACCCAGAGCCCACUUGCCAGGAGUCAGUACCAGGAGGAAAUGGGAGAUCUUGGAGGCAGAUGCCAUCCUAGGGAAGAAGUUCCUGCACACACCGUGCCCAUGAGCUAUGCAUCUUAUGGAAUCCCGUAUGCUAAUGAAUCUGAGGAUGAGGCAUCUUUACCUAGCACCUCUCAGAUGCACUUGCCCCUGGACCUGCCAUGUGCUGAAAACAGUCCAUGAGGGUUUUAAGGACCUUAGUAGGAAGAAGACUAUAGAUGUUUCUGGAUUCAGUUCAGGCUUUGAUGAAUCAUGAAGAUAGCAGAAUGUUAGUUUUGUGGAGAGGCAGGAGGCUAAAAACAAAGGGAGGAGAAGAUCAAAAAGAGAUUAAAAUAAGGAGUCCUUGGAAGCCCUCAAGGGCUGUUUUCAGCACAUGAUUGGAGAAGAUAGAGGCCUAAAACAGGAGGUGGAGUUAAUUGAGACAGACUAAUGAGAUGCAAAAUAUAUUAUAUUAGUAUCAUUUAGAUGGAGUAAAUGGGCCAAAGACGUUAACAUAAAACAUUCUGGCAUUAAACAGUAUUAAACAAAGUUCAGGUUUGAUAUACAGAGACUUUAGGCUGCUUAGUAGCAUGGCAAACACACUAUGAAAUUCAUGCCAAAGACUAUCAAUUUAUUGACUGAAACACACAAAAGAAAGAAUAAAAUGAGGUAAAGAGCAUUGAAACAAACUGAUUCUUAUGCAAAACAAACAAUCAAGACUUAACAAAGUUCCUUUUGUAGAUAGUGUAUAUUGAUUAAAGUCUCUUAUUCAGACAAACAGUUCUGCCUGAGGGGGAAGAAAGGGUUAGUUCAAUUCUGAAUUCCUUUCCUGCUUCAGACAAAAGAGACAGACACAGAAGGGAAAGAAGAGGUAGGAUAGUAAAGAUGCAGGAAAUACAGCUGUGAUGCUGGCAGGCCUGUUUCCAGCUCAUGCCAAAGUCCCCAUGUCUCAAGUGAACACUAACAAAUACUUAGCUGGAAUCAGUCUGGCUCACCUGUCUGUCAGUAUUGUUAAAUAGGUAUCAGCAUUUAAAUAAUGUAUUUAGUCUUUAUUGAAUGCUUGCGAGUUGCUGCCUGCAUUAAUCUCAUUUAUAACAUCAGUAUCCCUUAUUGUAAGGUGUGGUUUGAGUGAUUGCAUUGUGACCUUCUCUGACUGUGUACAUCGCCAGACUGGAGACGUACAUUAAUUAGUAUGAAGGGAUGAUAAGCAACAGAAGGUGUUACGUCCUUCCAAACAGGUAAUCUGCAUCAACACCAGACAGACUAUUGUGAGAUAUUGUAGUUCUGUUCUCCUGCCCUCCAGCCCCAAAGAUGAACCAUGCAAGAGGAUUCCUCCCAUCAGCUGAGUUGCAGUUCAGAGCACAUGGCAGAGAAAGGGUUAAAAACCUCAAACAAGAGGAACUAAGGAGCUCUAUACUGCUUGCAAUCUGGGCGGUAAGCAAGAGAUAUCCAGCUGUUUAGACUGGCUUAGCCCUAAAGGGUAUAUGGAACUUGUUGGCUAUAGAAGCUUCUAUUACCUUUUGAAACUUAAUACUGUAACUCAUUUGUGAAUCUAUGUUUGCCUGCUUUACCUUGUAAAUAAUUCUCGUUUCUUUUUCUAUUUAAUAAAUCUUCAUACAGU